rnacentral:rRNA from 1 species
UACGGGGGGGGCUAGCGUUGUUCGGAAUUACUGGGCGUAAAGGGCGCGUAGGCGGUCUGCUAAGUUGGAUGUGAAAACUCUGGGCUUAACCCAGAGCCUGCAUUCAAAACUGACAGGCUGGAGUUCUGGAGGGGAUAGCGGAAUUCCUGGUGUAGCGGUGAAAUGCGUAGAUAUCAGGAGGAACACCGGUGGCGAAGGCGGCUAUCUGGACAGAAAACUGACGCUGAGGCGCGAAAGCUAGGGGAGCAAACAGG